GCUAAGUCGGGGCCAGCAGCGGCGGUAAUACGGAGGUGGCGAGGGUGGUUCGGAUUUAUCGGGCGUAAAGCGAGGGCAGGCGGUUCCUUAAGACUGAUGUGAAAGCCCACGGCUCAACCGUGGAAGGUCAUUGGAAACUGGGGAACUUGAGUGCAGAAGAGGAGAGUGGAAUUCCAUGUGUAGCGGUGAAAUGCGUAGAUAUAUGGAGGAACACCAGUGGCGAAGGCGACUCUCUGGUCUGUAACUGACGCUGAGGCUCGAAAGCGUGGGGAGCAAACAGGAUUAGAUACCCCUGUAGUC
rnacentral:rRNA from 1 species